rnacentral:pre_miRNA from 1 species
CAGUGCUGGGAUCUCAUGAGUGAAUGAUAUUGGGGUAUCUCCACCAUAGCCUGGAUUCUGCUCAUCCUCUCCCUCCUCACUCAGGACACAGGUGU